UGGGGAAUAUUGGACAAUGGGCGCAAGCCUGAUCCAGCCAUGCCGCGUGAGUGAUGAAGGCCCUAGGGUUGUAAAGCUCUUUCACCGGUGAAGAUAAUGACGGUAACCGGAGAAGAAGCCCCGGCUAACUUCGUGCCAGCAGCCGCGGUAAUACGAAGGGGGCUAGCGUUGUUCGGAUUUACUGGGCGUAAAGCGCACGUAGGCGGACUAUUAAGUCAGGGGUGAAAUCCCGGGGCUCAACCCCGGAACUGCCUUUGAUACUGGUAGUCUUGAGUUCGAGAGAAGUGAGGGGAAUUCCGAGUGUAGAAGUGAAACUCGUAGAUAUUCGGAGGAACACCAGUAGCGAAGGCGGCUCACUGGCUCGAUACAGACGCUGAGGUGCGAAAGCGUGGGGAGCAAACAGG
rnacentral:rRNA from 1 species